rnacentral:rRNA from 1 species
AUUGAACGCUGGCGGCAGGCUUAACACAUGCAAGUCGAGCGGUAACAGAGAGAAGCUUGCUUCUCUGCUGACGAGCGGCGAACGGGUGAGUUAUGCCUAGGAAUCUGCCUAGUAGUGGGGGAUAACUUGCCGAAAGGUAAGCUAAUACCGCAUACGUCCUACGGGAGAAAGGAGGGGACCUUCGGGCCUUUCGCUAUUAGAUGAGCCUAGGUCGGAUUAGUUAGUUGGUGAGGUAAUGGCUCACCAAGACCGCGAUCCGUAACUGGUCAGAGAGGAUGAUCAGUCACACUGGAACUGAGACACGGUCCAGACUCCUACGGGAGGCAGCAGUGGGGAAUAUUGGACAAUGGGGGGAACCCUGAUCCAGCCAUGCCGCGUGUGUGAAGAAGGUCUUAGGAUUGUAAAGCACUUUAAGUUGGGAGGAAGAGCAGUUAACUAAUAUUUGACUGUUUUGACGUUACCGACAGAAUAAGCACCGGCUAACUUCGUGCCAGCCGCCGCAGUAA